UGGUAUUAUGGCAGUCAAGAAAACUGAAGUGUAACUUUUGGAUAAUUGUGUUUUUAAUAAAAUUAAUUUUUAAAAUACUGCAAACCAGUAUCUCUGUGUGUCUGUCUGUGUGUGUGUGUGUGUGUGUGUGUGUGUGUUGAAUCUGGCCAUUCCUCUUCACCCAA